UACGUAGGGUGCAAGCGUUAAUCGGAAUUACUGGGCGUAAAGCGUGCGCAGGCGGUUUUGUAAGUCUGUCGUGAAAUCCCCGGGCUCAACCUGGGAAUUGCGAUGGAGACUGCAAGGCUAGAAUCUGGCAGAGGGGGUAGAAUUCCACGUGUAGCAGUGAAAUGCGUAGAGAUGUGGAGGAACACCGAUGGCGAAGGCAGCCCCCUGGAUCAAGAU
rnacentral:rRNA from 1 species